rnacentral:rRNA from 1 species
UACAGAGGUCUCAAGCGUUGUUCGGAUUCAUUGGGCGUAAAGGGUGCGUAGGCGGCGCGGUAAGUCGGGUGUGAAAUCUCGGAGCUUAACUCCGAAACUGCAUUCGAUACUGCCGUGCUUGAGGACUGGAGAGGAGACUGGAAUUUACGGUGUAGCGGUGAAAUGCGUAGAUAUCUGGAGGAACACCAAUGGCGAAGGCAGCUCGCUGGGACGUGACUGACGCUGAGACGCGAAAGCGUGGGGAGCAAACAGG